rnacentral:rRNA from 1 species
UACGUAGGGUGCGAGCGUUUGUCCGGAAUUAUUGGGCGUAAAGAGCUCGUAGGCGGUUUGUCGCGUCUGCCGUGAAAGUCCGGGGCUCAACUCCGGAUCUGCGGUGGGUACGGGCAGACUAGAGUGAUGUAGGGGAGACUGGAAUUCCUGGUGUAGCGGUGAAAUGCGCAGAUAUCAGGAGGAACACCGAUGGCGAAGGCAGGUCUCUGGACAUUAACUGACGCUGAGGAGCGAAAGCAUGGGGAGCGAACAGG